GAUGAACGCUGGCGGCGUGCCUAAUACAUGCAAGUCGAGCGAACAGACGAGGAGCUUGCUCCUCUGACGUUAGCGGCGGACGGGUGAGUAACACGUGGAUAACCUACCUAUAAGACUGGGAUAACUUCGGGAAACCGGAGCUAAUACCGGAUAAUAUAUUGAACCGCAUGGUUCAAUAGUGAAAGACGGUUUUGCUGUCACUUAUAGAUGGAUCCGCGCCGCAUUAGCUAGUUGGUAAGGUAACGGCUUACCAAGGCAACGAUGCGUAGCCGACCUGAGAGGGUGAUCGGCCACACUGGAACUGAGACACGGUCCAGACUCCUACGGGAGGCAGCAGUAGGGAAUCUUCCGCAAUGGGCGAAAGCUUGACGGAGCAACGCCGCGUGAGUGAUGAAGGUCUUCGGAUCGUAAAACUCUGUUAUUAGGGAAGAACAAAUGUGUAAGUAACUAUGCACGUCUUGACGGUACCUAAUCAGAAAGCCCCGGCUAACUUCGUG
rnacentral:rRNA from 1 species